CGCAGGUCGCUCUCUAGCUGAGACUACAAUUCCCAGGAUGCUCAGCGCAGCCUCGCCUUGCUGGGGCGGGGGUAGUCACCCGGUGAACUACAACUCCCAGGGUGCCGUGCGCACGCCCCGGUCUGCGCCGCCGCCGCCACCUCGCGACCACCUGUGGUAAGAGGCGGUGGUGAAACAUUUCAUUCCUUGGACUGAGGUCGUUCAGACCUGUCCGCUUUCGCGACACUGCCCUGGGGUAUCUAUUUGAUUUCUUCUAUGAGAAUUUAUCGCGCGUCUGCUGGUGCCGGGUGGCGAUGGCGGCAGCUCUGGGGUGUCCCUCCGGACUGGACGGCCGUGGGCUCUGUCGGCGUCCGGCGAGGCCGGGGCAGAGCCUGACUUGAUCCUCAACCCCAUCCCGUUACGGGAGGUUUCUUUGUUGAAGAUGGAAACAGAGGGUCUUUGGUUCUGGAAGGCGCCCAGGGCACAGUUGUAUUGAAAAACAAGAUCAGGGGCGCCUGCCUGGCUCAUUUGGAAGAGUGCACGACCCUUGAUCUCUGGGUAGAGAGUUUGAGCCCCAUGUUGGGUGUAGAGAUUACU